rnacentral:rRNA from 1 species
AGCGAACGCUGGCGGCAGGCCUAACACAUGCAAGUCGAACGAAGCCUUCGGGCUUAGUGGCGGACGGGUGAGUAACACGUGGGAACGUACCUUUUGGUUCGGAAUAACGCAGAGAAAUUUGCGCUAAUACCGAAUGAGCCCCUCGGGGGAAAGAUUUAUCGCCGAAAGAUCGGCCCGCGUUGGAUUAGGUAGUUGGUGUGGUAAAGGCGCACCAAGCCUACGAUCCAUAGCUGGUCUGAGAGGAUGAUCAGCCACACUGGGACUGAGACACGGCCCAGACUCCUACGGGAGGCAGCAGUGGGGAAUCUUGCGCAAUGGGCGAAAGCCUGACGCAGCCAUGCCGCGUGAAUGAUGAAGGUCUUAGGAUUGUAAAAUUCUUUUACCAGGGACGAUAAUGACGGUACCUGGAGAAAAAGCCCCGGCUAACUUCGUGCCAGCCGCCGCAGUAA